ensembl:lncRNA novel transcript
AUCCCGGCGCUGCCCACCCACCACACCGCUAGCGCCUCUGAACCUCGCCAGGCACGUCCGGUUCUGCGGCCCCCACUCCGCCCCCGCCUGCCGGGAGCCGCGCAGUUACAAAGUGCCGGGAGCCGUGCAGGGCCAGUGAACCCCUCGCUGAGACUCAGUUUGCUGCCAUCACAAGUGCUCUGAGAAUCCUGGAGAGGGAGGAUAUUGGAGACAAACGGGACUGCUGCCCGCCUUUUAGGCGACCGUUGGAGGCUGCUCUGUGCCGGACACAGGCAGGGAGGUGGAGGCCAGAUACAAGAAAACCACAGUACCAGUAAAUGACAAAGGCUGGAUCUUAACCCAAGUCCUCCGACUCUGAAGGCCAUACCCAACAGGUCCCAUUUUAUUUGUUUUACUUUUUUUUAAUUGAAGAAAAAAAAACUAGCAUUCCCCUACAGUGCCCCCCACCUGGUGGGGACAUCUUGGGUUGGCAAGGCCACCACUUUCAAGAGUAGAAGUGUUUUUCAGCAGGAGGAGUUGGCUGCACCAAAGGAGCUCA